UGAUUUCUUAAACUACAUAACACUACAUAACCUUAUGCGAUGCGCGGAUGAAAUAAAUGUAGUGAAAUAUACAAUAUUUUAUAACUAAUAUAUAUAUAUAUAUAUAUAUAUAUAUAUAAAAUAAAAUAUUUAGUUACUUUAUAAUACAUGUAAUAACAAUUAGCAUAAAUAUUGUGACUAUGAUAUAUUAAUUUUGAACUAAAC
rnacentral:sRNA from 1 species